GACGAACGCUGGCGGCGUGCUUAACACAUGCAAGUCGAACGGAAAGGCCCUGCUUUUGUGGGGUGCUCGAGUGGCGAACGGGUGAGUAACACGUGAGUAACCUGCCCUUGACUUUGGGAUAACUUCAGGAAACUGGGGCUAAUACCGGAUAGGAGCUCCUGCUGCAUGGUGGGGGUUGGAAAGUUUCGGCGGUUGGGGACGGACUCGCGGCUUAUCAGCUUGUUGGUGGGGUAGUGGCUUACCAAGGCUUUGACGGGUAGCCGGCCUGAGAGGGUGACCGGCCACAUUGGGACUGAGAUACGGCCCAGACUCCUACGGGAGGCAGUAGUGGGGAAUAUUGCAAAAUGGGCGGAAGCCUGAUGCAGCAACGCCGCGUGCGGGAUGACGGCCUUCGGGUUGUAAACCGCUUUCGCCUGUGACGAAGCGUGAGUGACGGUAAUGGGUAAAGAAGCACCGGCUAACUACGUG
rnacentral:rRNA from 1 species